rnacentral:rRNA from 1 species
AGCAGCCGCGGUAAUUCCAGCUCCAAUAGCGUAUAUUAAAGUUGUUGCAGUUAAAAAGCUCGUAGUUGAAUUUCGGGGUUAGUAGGUUGGUCAUGCCUCCGGUAUGUACUGGUCUCACUGAUUCCUCCUUCCUUAUGAACCGUAAUGCCAUUAAUUUGGUGUUGCGGGGAAUUUGGACUGUUACUUUGAAAAAAUUAGAGUGUUUAAAGCAAGCUAGCGCUUGAAUACAUUAGCAUGGAAUAAUGAAAUAGGACGUUCGAUCUUAUUUUGUUGGUUUCUAGGAUUGACGUAAUGAUUAAUAGGGAUAGUUGGGGGCAUUAGUAUUCAAUUGUCAGAGGUGAAAUUCUUGGAUUUAUUGAAGACUAACUACUGCGAAAGCAUUUGCCAAGGAUGUUUUCAUUAAUC